AUUGAACGCUGGCGGCAGGCCUAACACAUGCAAGUCGAACGGUAACAGGAAGAAGCUUGCUUCUUUGCUGACGAGUGGCGGACGGGUGAGUAAUGUCUGGGAAACUGCCUGAUGGAGGGGGAUAACUACUGGAAACGGUAGCUAAUACCGCAUAACGCCGCAAGACCAAAGAGGGGGACCUUCGGGCCUCUUGCCAUCGGAUGUGCCCAGAUGGGAUUGGCUAGUGGGUGGGGUAACGGCUCACCUAGGCGACGAUCCCUAGCUGGGCUGAGAGGAUGACCAGCCACACUGGAACUGAGACACGGUCCAGACUCCUACGGGAGGCAGCAGUGGGGAAUACUGCACAAUGGGCGCAAGCCUGAUGCAGCCAUGCCGCGUGUAUGAAGAAGGCCUUCGGGUUGUAAAGUACUUUCAGCGGGGAGGAAGGGAGUAAAGUUAAUACCUUUGCUCAUUGACGUUACCCGCAGAAGAAGCACCGGCUAACUCCGUG
rnacentral:rRNA from 1 species